rnacentral:lncRNA from 1 species
CGAAGAGGACAUUGCAGAAAUCGCAAAGUUGGCAGGGAAGAAGCUGCAGAGAAGAAAUCCCGAAAAAAGACCCCGUAUAAACCUCGAUCAUUUAUUCCCAGGUUAAUUUGAUGUGAAUGGUUGUUGAAUUUGUUGCAGAAACGUGGGAAACGAGUUUUAUAUGACUAUUAUCUUCUGCUUUCAUCUCUAUACUUAAUUUUGCGUUUCAUCAACUUUUGAGUUUUCUUUUAGACCUACAGUAUUAUGGUUUGGAACAGAACAUAAUUGAACGUUCAGGAUUUGUCUUCGGCAUUGCCUUGAGUGCUUCUGGAAUCUCAAGGAAACUCCGUUUGGCGGUAUGGAACUCCCUCCGAAUCUUGUCAUUGUUUUUAUGCAUUUGCCAUUGUUCUUGAGUGCUUCAGAAUUUUCAUUUACAAAUCAACCAAAGCACCAUUAACUAUUAAAAGAACAGUAAACAAUAAAGGAGACAUAUUUACAUUUCAAACCCAUUAACUAUAUAAACUUAUAUCAUCAUCAUCCUCUAUCUUUUUUAUUUUCAUCUUAUCUUGGUCCAGAUAGCUCCAUGGCAUAGUAAUCCAAAGAAUAUUCAUCAUCAUCGUCCUCGUCCAUUCCUGUUCUGAACACGCUGCUCGAUUGAUCGUGACUUUUGCCAUCAUGUUUCGAUCCAAUGGUAGGGUGUGAGAUAC